rnacentral:rRNA from 1 species
GUAGGGGGCGAGCGUUGUCCGGAUUUAUUGGGCGUAAAGAGCUCGUAGGCGGUUUGGCAAGUCGGGUGUGAAAACUCCGGGCUCAACUCGGAGACGCCACUCGAUACUGCUAUGACUCGAGUCCGGUAGGGGAGUGCGGAAUUCCUGGUGUAGCGGUGAAAUGCGCAGAUAUCAGGAGGAACACCGGUGGCGAAGGCGGCACUCUGGGCCGGAACUGACGCUGAGGAGCGAAAGCGUGGGGAGCGAACAGGAUUAGAUACCCUGGUAGUCCACGCCGUAAACGUUGGGCACUAGGUGUGGGGCUCGAUCGACGGGCUCCGUGCCGUAGCUAACGCAUUAAGUGCCCCGCCUGGGAAGUACGGCCGCAAGGCUAAA